GUACAUCUCUAGAAGCGAAGUUAAAAAAGAAAAGAGAAAAGAAACCAAGAUUCAGAACUCAUGUCUUCCCACAGGUUUAUAACAUGGUAAAACAGUGAUAAUUUUGUAGAAAUAGCUGUGGAUAAGAAGAUGAGAGAGUACAAUCAUUCUUUAAGAGUAAGAAGUAAAGAAUUGUAGAAGAAAGACGAGUGAAUUUUCAAGAGCACGUGACCACCUUGUCCAAGCAGAAAGGAGCAGCUGAGGAAUCUCCCACUGUCCUCACUCAUCAAGGAGUCCACUGUGACCUCAUGAUCCUCUAUGAUCUAAUGAUACAUAAGCAGACUAGGAGAAGCUGAGAUCAACUCUAUUUGAGCAAGAGUGAGGAAGAUUUCCCUGUCUCCCAGCUGAGUAACCACUCGGGUUUAUUUAAAUCCAGUUUAAAUAUGGUUUCAGUAAUGAUUUUCCCAUGGUCUACAGCAAAGAAUGGUGCUCCAAGCCUGAACAUUGAGCACGACCCAGGUCAUAUGCACAACACGACAGGUUGAGCAUCCAUGUGUGGCUACUGGGUUUGCUGGGGACACCUCUUGCCUGCCAAGGUGAGCACACGCAGCAGUGAGCAGCCCCGUGUGACCCCACGGGAUGAGGAUGCCAUGAUGUCAGCAUCCCUUCUGACUCGGAAGUAUGUGACAUUCAUGGUGCCAAUGCCACUGUCACCUUGCAGAUCAGUCUGGGUUUGCUUCAGACAGAAGAUCCUGGAAUAUGUUCAAGCAUUACUCAUUUCCAGACUUUUUCAACCCAAUAAAUUUUCAUACUACUUGAAUUAUUACUCUCAA